UGAACUUUAAGGUAGUUUUUUCCAAUUCUGUGAAGAAAGUCAUUGGCAGCUUGAUGGGGAUGGCAUUGAAUCUAUAAAUUACCUUGGGCAGUAUGGCCAUUUUCAUGGUAUUGAUUCUUCCUAUCCAUGAGCAUGGAAUGUUCUUCCAUUUGUUUGUAUCCUCUUUUAUUUCAUUGAGCAGUAGUUUGUAGUUCUCCUUGAGGAGGUCCUUCACAUCCCUUGUAAGUUGGAUUCCUAGG
rnacentral:lncRNA from 1 species